AACGAACGCUGGCGGCAUGCCUAACACAUGCAAGUCGAACGAGACCUUCGGGUCUAGUGGCGCACGGGUGCGUAACGCGUGGGAACCUGCCCUUAGGUUCGGAAUAACUCCCCGAAAGGGGUGCUAAUACCGGACAAUGUCUUCGGACCAAAGAUUUAUCGCCUUUGGAUGGGCCCGCGUUGGAUUAGCUAGUUGGUAGGGUAAAAGCCUACCAAGGCGACGAUCCAUAGCUGGUCUGAGAGGAUGAUCAGCCACACUGGGACUGAGACACGGCCCAGACUCCUACGGGAGGCAGCAGUGGGGAAUAUUGGACAAUGGGCGAAAGCCUGAUCCAGCAAUGCCGCGUGAGUGAUGAAGGCCUGAGGGUUGUAAAGCUCUUUUACCCGGGAUGAUAAUGACAGUACCGGGAGAAUAAGCUCCGGCUAACUCCGUG
rnacentral:rRNA from 1 species